AACCUCAUCAACCGGAAGGGAUUCCUUCUGGUCGAUGAGGAAGAUAUCCCUCAUUGACCAGAAGGGAUUCCUUCCUGUUGAUGAGGAA
rnacentral:miRNA from 1 species